rnacentral:lncRNA from 1 species
UAUUUCUGUUGCUUUGGGAGAUUUACCUGAGAAAAUAUUUAUAAGGGUGAUGUCAGAGAAUGUUUUGCCUAUGUUCUCUUCCAGGAGUAUGAUGGUGUCUUGUCUUAUAUUUGAGUCUUUCAGCCAUUUUGAGUUUAUUUUUGUGCAUAGUGUGAGGGUGUGUUCUAGUUUCAUUGCUUUGCAUGUUGCUGUCCAGGUUGCCCAGUAAUGCUUGCUGAAUAGACUUUCUUUUCCCAUUUGAUAUUCUUGCCUCCUUUGUUGAAGAUUAAUUGACCAUAGGGGUCUGGGAUUAUUUCUGGGUUCUCUAUCCUGUUCCAUUGGUCUGUCUGUCUGUUUUGGUACCGGUACCAUACUGUCUUAAUGACUGUGGCUUUGUAAUAUUGCCUGAAGUCUGGAAGAGUUAUGCUUCCUGCUUGGUUUUUGUUCCUCAGCAUUGCUUUGGCAAUUCCGGGUCUUUUGUGGUUCCAUAUAAAUUUUUGGAUUAUUUGUUCUAGUUCUGUGAAAAAUGUCAUGGGUAAUUUGAUAGGGAUUGCGUUGAAUCUGUAGAUUGCUUUGGGUAGUAUGGCCAUGUUUAUAAUAUUAAUUUUUCCAACCCAGGAACAUGGAGUAUCUUUCCAUUUCUUUACAUCUUCUUUAACUUCCUUGAUUAAUGUUUUAUGGUUCUCAUCAUAUAAGUCUUUCACCUCCUUGGUCAGGUGUAUUCCGAGGUAUUUGAUUUUGUGAGGUGCAAUUUUAAAAGGUAUCAUAUUUUUGUAUUCCUUUUCUAAUAUUUCAUUGCUGGUAUACAGAAAUGCAACUGACUUCUGAAUGCUAAUCUUAUAUCCUGCUACUUUGCUGAAUUUAUUAAUCAGUUCAAGUAGUUUUUGGGUUGAGUCCUUAGGGUUUUCUAUGUAUAGUAUCAUGUCGUCUGCAUACAGAGAGGAUUUUGACUAAAAGUCUUACAGGUUUGUAAUAUGAUUGUUUUAAAUAACAAUAUUCCUAGUGGGGUUGAAUGCAUAACAAAAAACAAAAAAAAAAUAACAAGUAGUCAUAUAGACUGAAGCUUUUAUACAUGGAAGACUACAUUUUGUAAAGUUUUUGUGGCACUAAGUUUAUUUAGAACUGGAAAACUACAGUCAGCACAAAGUAAAGUGGAAUACUGAUCCAAAUACUCUUACGAUUCAAGCCAAAUAUAGCACUCUGCCUAUAUGAGAAAAAGAGAGUGACACUGUCUUUUCUUUUUAAUUGUCUGGAUAAAAUUCACAACUUCUACAUUUUUUAAAUGUAUGGAUUCAAGCUUGAAAACUCAAACUUGGGCAUUAUUAGGCAUCAUUGAUAAUGAUUAGAAGAAACAUAACAAGAAAGCAACGAAUCAGAGCAGUGAAAAGAUGAGACAAUCUUUUGGAAUGUUUGCAGGCACUUAUUCCUUGUCAGUAUAACUGGCUGAUUUAGACCUUUUUGAUAGGAAUGAGGUAAGAACCUUAUGACAGUGUGAACAGUAUAGUUUAUGAUAAAUAACAAGAAGCAUUCUAGAAUAUCCACAGUACAUGGAUAAUGAGAGCAAAAUUUAAGAAGCAAUUGAAGAAAGUAAAAUCUUUCAUUGCAAUUUGGAAACAGUUGAAAACAUGCAAGUAUAGUUAACAAUAAAGACGGAUAUAUUUAAUGCAAAAUCAGGCAUAUUUUAGGAAAUCAGAAAAAUGUAGUUUUAAAAUGGCUAGGUAUAAAUACAAACAUCAUAAUAUUCUUAUCAUUUUUUUCAAACAUCAAAAUAUUUGAACAAUGUUUCCACAGCCAUUGAAAAUAAGAAUGCUAUUUUCUCUCUUCCAAUUCCAACUUAAUAUCCUAAAUGAACUGAUCUUCUAGAGAAUUAACUUUCAUCAGGCUAUUCAUAAAUUUUUUAAAGUAGUUUUUUAAAACCACAUCAGGUCUAUGACUAUGAAAUAAGAAACUUUUCCUAUAUGCUUAACAACAUAUGAUUCUCUUAAACCCCUUGCAAAUACAUUUUUUUCUUAAUUUUCUAUUUGCCUCUCUCUGCAUGAAACUCAAACUAAAGGAUCUCAAGGUGGGGGUGCCAUGAAGAUAGCCAUGUAAGGACCCAGCUCCAUCUACCAACAGGUCAGCAUCAGUCCUGUGCCUCAGUGGGUCACCCAGCCAAUCACAAGGGAAGCCUCGCCCUCCAGAGGGCCUUCAACCACUGAAUGAGGCACAGCUUUUCAGCCAAAUGGGACAGGGACUAGUGAGGCUUACCAGCAUGCCCAUAGUAAACAUCUCAGCCACAACACAAGGGCAUACACAUCCCACAUGGUGGAAACCCAAGAACAUAUAACUCUGGUCACCAGAAGGGAGCAUGCCAUUGAGUACUAUAGGGCAUCUCCUACAUAAAGGCACUUGUCUAAAACCAGGAAAUGUAACUGACAUGCCUAAUAUAUAGAAAUGAAAACAGAGAAUCAGACCAAAGGAAGUGACAGAAGAAUAUGUUCUAAAUUAAAGAACAAGAUGGCCUCAGAGGAAGAAUGAAAAGUGGAGAUAAGCAAUCCAUCCAAUAAAGAGUUCAAGGUAAUGAUCAUAAAGAUGUUCAAUGAUUUGGGAAAAAGUUUGAAAAUAAAAAGAAGAACCAAACAGAGAUGGAUAAUACAUUAACUGAAAUUAAAAAAAGAAGAAAUUAACAGUAAAUUCGAAUCAAUAGUAGAUUAGAUGAUACAGAGGAACUAUACUGUAGAGCUACAGUAAUCAAAACAGCAAGUUAGGAGUUUCCAUUGCUACUCAGCAGUAAUGACCCAACUACUAUCCAGGAAGAUGCGGGUUCAAUCCAUGGCCUUGCUCAGUGGGUUAAGGAUCAGCGUUACCAUGAGCUAUGCAACUCUGAUCUGGCAUUGUUGUGGCAUAGACUGGCAUCUGCAGCUCUGAUUCAGCCCCUAGCCUGGGAACUUCCAUAUGCCAUGUAUGCAGCCCUGAAAAGACAAAGCAA